UGAUAAGUAUCCCAGAAAUGGACCAAGUCUGCAGGUGCUUAUGAAAGAUCCCCGGAGCAGGGAGACCCUCACUCAAGUCUCGGGAUGAUGCGACCCCCCCAAGAACUCACGUAAGACC
rnacentral:pre_miRNA from 14 species